GAUGGGCUGGGGUUGGGCUUGGGGAUCUUGGAGGUCUUUUCCAACCUUAUUGAUUCUGUGAUUCUACAAUUCUUUCCAAACAAAGAGGAAUUGGGACAGAGCCUAUUGGCAGCAUACAGCAUCAAGCCUCUCCCAAGAGGCAGAAGAAAAAUGUAAAAAGAGACAAAAAGAGCCAAAAAGAGACAGGAAAUUAAGUGAAAUGUUCACGAUUCAAGAAUUUUGAGAUGGCUUGUUCAUCAAAGUGCACAAACCAAAUGAAUGAAGGCAAGGUAGCAUGCAAUGCAGUGCUGCAGUAGUAGUGCGGGACACAGCAGGGCAGUCUCAGCUGCAACGACUGAGUGUUGUCCCCAGACUUCUCCCCACAGUGGUGUGGGGGCUUAAUACUGAGACCAGAAGCUGAGAGACACACCAUGAUCUUCUUCCAUCCAAAGUGACUGAAGAGAUCAUCUGUGUCUCUUGGACUCCAUAAGGACAAAAGGGAGCUUUGAUUCCAGAAGUAGAAAUAAAACCCUGAAUCGGGGCACCAUGCAGUUCUUUAAAGUCUGCACUGGCACCACACUGCUUUGGGAAAGAAGAGGCUGACACUGAAGUGUGCACCCAAGAAGGAAUGUAUGGCUGUUAGUUUGUGCACACGAGCCUGUGCUUGCACAUUUUCUGCUUACAGAGAUUUGCUUUCAUCAUCUUUCUCAACUGACAUACACUGGAAAGGACAUUCAGCACUUUGAAAGCUGCUGUUUUUCAGGUUUUAUAAAUUUCUCCCAGCUGAAGUUCUCGAUGACAACUCUGCUCAGAGCAUGGCUUGUCAGUAACACUGAUCUAGUGGAAACAGCCCAGUUCGAAUGUGUGUCAGCUCAGAUGAGGCUCAACGAAGGGAACUGAAAUUCAUACGCCAUCCACCGGAGCAUCUUUUUUUUCUUUGUGUGAUGUAAACCACUCUGCACUGAAAUAUUGACACCACAGCAUGCGAGUGAGCUGCGACCAACACACAGAGCGCAGUAUGCUGCUGCCAGCCUCACACUGCUCUGAAUGUUUCAUUUACAUGCUGGGAAAGGCUUAUCCUCAACGUUUUGCUUUUGCUUUGUAUUUCAGAGAUGCUGAAGGUAAUGCUGGAGUGAUUUUGGCAAUAUAUGUAUUCUGGUUUAUAUCGUUUGCAUCUUCCUUUCCACGAUUCCAUAAUUCCUCUUAACCAUAACCAGCACAGGGACUGAAGCUGAAGGUUGUGCAGAUCUUCCAUAUCCAUGCUUACUGUGAAGGCACAAAGUGCCAUGAGCUCAGGGCAAACCCACAGAUGCUUCACGUACAAAGCGAGCUGAUCCUCAUCUCACCAUUUGGAAGCAGCGUUUCUGAUUUCUCAGAAAAGAAACUUGUAUGCUCCCUGGACGCUGGCACAAAAACCUCUUGCCUGCCAUGGUGCUGAUGGCUUGAUGGUUGGACUUGAUGAUCAUAGAUGUCUUUUUCAACCUUCACAGUUCUGCAUCAUUGUUUCCAAAUCUUUUAUGUAGAUGUGUAAUUCUUGGGAACGUUACUAUUGACAGCCAUGUUCUUUCCAUACCCACAGACUGUUCAGCAGUUGAGACUGUAGCAACAGAUUCAGAAGUUCUGACCUAAUUUUCCUGUUUGUGAUCCCCUUAUAGAUGUGAGGGAAGCCUGCAACAAUCCAGCGUUAACAUUCCAACCCCAAAAGUAGCUCCUCUACAUGUUACUGGGGACUGUGGGAUGCUUUGUGAUGAUGGGCAGAUCCACAGCUCCAAUGUAACACAAGACAGUAAUCCAAGUGUCCUAUUGCUAAGCACCAAGCAUAUCUCAGGACUACUUAAAAGAGCAGCCUGAACAAUUAACCUCUUACAUGCAUCCAAUUACUGGCUUUCUUAAUGAUUCUCCAGGAAGUCACAAAAACCAGUCGUUUUGAUACAACUCUGCACAAGAGAUGGCACUGCAUUCUUACCACCUGUAGCACCAGGUGCUCAGCAGACCUCAGUCUCUGCUACACCAUAUUUAUUUCUAUUUGACAAACCAGAACCACAAGCUGAUGCAACCUCCCAGCCCCCACAGUGUGAAGCCUCUUUCAUAGCUCCCAGGCCUAUGAAGUUCAGCUAAAGGAGAAAAAUCUGCUCAACUAUUACUGCACCAUUUCUGCAAUCAGAAUGCUUCACCUGUGCUAGCAACAAGCUACCUAUUUUUUGAAUCCUGUAAGAGCACAAUCCAAGGUUAAGUGGAAGUUUACAUGAAGCAAUACCUACUUCUCAGAAUCAGUUUCUUUUAAGUGCUCUGGAUGGAUGGCCAGUUUGGGUUUAAAAGCACCUGUAAAAUUUAGCACUGGUUUUCCACAUACUCUGUGAUUUACAUUUUUUAAUCAAAACACUUCUCCUCCUUGGCCUCUGAUGAUGAUUCAUAUGAAUUGUUUCAAGAUGGGGAAAAAAAAUCUAAGCUACGCUCUGCACCGCUCUUCUUCUAACAGAACAGCAGCAGUGACUAGCAGUGGGCUUUGCAAUGAGAAUUGGUGGCCGUGGCCUUGGUUUAACAUCUCACCCCUCAGAUCACAUCAGCAAUGAGUUGGCAUAUUUUUGAGGACCUCUUCCAACUACGAUGGAGAAAUACACAUGAUAACUCCUCCAAUAUAUGCAGCAGUGAGAAACGUGACGAGUCAGAAGCAUCCAGGAUGAGAUUCUCAAGGCAAAAAUUAUUUUAAAGUACAUAUUUUAUCAGGUGACAUUUGUCAACCCACCUGGGAUGAUUUGAAAUCGGGGUGCACACCUGUCCCAUUUGGGUGAUGGCUAGAAGGUUCAAAGACUCAGCACCUCCCUGCAAAGCAAUGCUUACAAGGGAUUUGUAGGUAAUGGUUAAGAAACAUUUUUAAUAUACAUUUAACCACAUACAUUUUAAUAACUCCUGAUGUCCAUAGCUUCUGGACAUAAGCCCUUUCCAUCUGCAGCAGUGAGCAACAUCACUUCUCACAGUACCGUGCGUUUUGUAAAGCUAGCCAAACGUGCCUCAAGAGAAGGAGAAAACAGCAAGAACCCACACUUAGCCAAAGGCAGUCCUGCUCCAGCAGGAGGGAGCAAACUACAACUGCAAGCUCCAAACGGAGGUUCAGAAUGGACUGUCAGCUACCAGGCUUCCCACCAGCCACAGCAGCUGGUUCCCUACCAGCAAGAACUUUGUACUUAACCCUGCAGUUCUUCUUUCCCAGAUUUUCCCCAACCCAAUUCUCAGAGGACUACGGAAUAAGAUGUGCUAUGAAAUAAUUUUGUGGCUGCUUUGUGAAUUAUGGUGAGCGAUGGAAAAUUAUGUUAUUAGAAUAUUUGAUCUUGUUUCCCCUAAGGAAUGAAGACAAUCAACACAUUUGCUUUUUGUAUAUAUUUAAACAUUCUCCUAACACUGAAAUAUCCACCUAUUGGUGUUUUCCUUUACAUCCUUUUGGCAGCAUCUGUUAUUUGAAUGAAAUCAAACAUAGGCAAGAUAUUAUUGUGGAACACAGUUAUUGAAAAGAAAAAAAUCUGGAACAUAGCAAAGUAAGGGGGGAAAAACUUACCUUUUCAAAGGUGACAUGUUGCAAGUGCUAAAAAGAGCAUCAUCUUCACAUCAAAUCAAGCAAGGUACAGGAAUCAAGAAACAGCGUGCCAAGAGGCAAUUUCUCAGCAAGAUGUUAGCAUCAGAACACAAAGUGAUGUGUCUGGAAGCAGAACUGCUGAGCUGCAAACAACCUGGGUGUGAGUCAGAGAACAUUAGGACAGCGCCUGUCCACCAGGGAUACAGACUUGAUUGCAUGUGACUUGUGUCAACUCCGGAGACAUCAAGAGCAGAACAUAAAAGCAAGGCAACAGAUACAUUCCUAAAUGAGCCAUUCAGCCUCUAAGGCAAUGAGAGUGGCAACAACUCAAGUUCCAAGAGAAAAAGUCAACAUUCCAGGUUUGCAUUCCAUGGUUAUGUAUCUGUCAUUCUUUUUUUUUUUUUUUUCCCAGGAAGAAGGUCACUGAAACAUCCUGUUUUAAAUCAUUAAAAGACACAAUCAUCUCCUUUUAGACUAGCUCACAACUUUGAAAGCAGAAUCCAAUUGCCCGUUCAGGCUCAUUAGUGUCUUUGGAUCCUAAUGACCCACUCAGUUGCAGCAAAUGAAGAACUAAUCCUUGUUUUAUGGCACUGACCGAAAAGGAUUAGCCAACUCUUGCUGCCCACGCAAUCAGCCUCGCACUGGGGAGAUUACUACCAUCUAAUGCUGUAAGUCUACACAUUCCAAUCUGUUACAAUAAGUAGCACUUAAAGCUUAUUUCCUUGAAAUGCUUAAGCAUGUUAAUGCUAUCGUAUAAGAUUGUUUUCUUACAGUGCAAUUAUUCAUCUACCACUGCCCUUAAAGAUUGCUUUUACCUGUAUAUGUGGUGUGAUGCCUCCUGAUAUCCAGCACUGUAUUAGUUGUAUUCACAGUCUUGAAAUAAAAAGCAAAAAUAGAAUAUUUUUCCUUAAAAUAGGCCCCAAAUGUGGCAGGCAAGCAUUAAAAGAAUUUCAAUGGAGUUCAGUGCAGUGACUUUAUUGGACUGUAUGGAAAGGCUGCAACUUGGACAGUAAAGAGUUGCAAACAGUUUUAAUUAAUUGCUUGAUGAUUAGAAUUCCAGGUGUAUUUUUGGCACCCUACACUUAGUCUUAACAGGUAGCUAAACAUAGAGCUACUACUUAUAUUUAACUCUCUAUACUCAAUACAUGAGUGAUAAUUCAGUUUUGUACCACUUGUUUCAGUGCAAUUUCUCCAGCUCAGCAUUCUGUUUGAUACAUUACUCAUAAAAUGAGUGGACAGUUUAAGGAGAUAAGACUAGAGUGUGAUGCUGUGUACUAUUCUUUCCCCCUCAGCAUAUUCACACAAUAAUACUGUUGAAAAUUCUAUAUGGAAAUGAAUCAAGUUCAUCACUAUUAUAUGCUCCAUUCACACCUGAACACUGAACAGUUUUUUUAUCUGAUAUAAAAUGAAGGAACACUUACAUUUCUAUCACCUUAAGAAUUAUAUAUAAUAGCACAAUGAAAUUUGUCCUGAAGAGCACUAUGCCAUGCAUGCGUGUUUUAUACUGACAGACUCAGAAUGAAGUCACAGAAAAGGAACAAAUUGCUAAUUGCUGACUGGAAACAGUUUGGUGAACAUUUAAUUUUCUCUCAAAGGUGCUGUGUGAGGCCAUAGAACAGCAUUACAUGAAAACAAACACUACAUCCUACAGCUGCUGGAUGUCACUGCAGGCUGGCUUUACUUCAUAGUUUCUAAGUUAAUUUUUUGCAUGAAAUCUGUCCAGCUGUUGCUUAUUUGUUAGCUAACCAUUCUAUACUGUUCAUAUGAUGACCCUUGAAGGCCAUCUACUCCAACUCCCUUGCAACAAACAGGGACACUCACAGCUCGAUCAGGUGCUCAGAUCAGGACUUCUCUAAUGCUGGGAGUAUGCUAGUUUUUAUGAGGAAUUUUCAAGUGAAACAGUUUUCUGACAAAAAUGUGACUAUAAACUUCAAAAAGAUGGUAAAAAAAACAUCUGCCUUCUGAUUACGAUACAUGUACAAGAUUCAAAGUCAAUGCCCUGCUCUGCUUAUUUAAGAAAGGGUGAGUUUUUGUAGCAUUAUUGCCUUAGGGCUCAGUUAUGAACCUGAAUCCUAUUUUAUUAGGUGCCACACAAUGGCAGAACAGGACAACUUCUGCUUCCAGGUGUUCACAGUACAAGCACACGGUAUGAACAUGUUACUGCUAUGGAGGGAGCUGCACUGCCUUUAAGAGAUCUCAGCCCCCCCAGCUGCCAUUGCUAUCCCACUGCUGGAGCCUACUGGUCUCUAGCUCAGCUGCACUCCUCAUCCACUGGAAUCUACAGCCAACUAAGUUAGCUUCCCACACUUCCAGAAGUGAUACACAUCACACCUACCAACUCUGCCUUGAGGAAUGAGGAAGAGGCACAGGUCUCUUCCUUUAUCUACACAACAGGGACAGUAACAGCAAAUUACAACUGGCAAUGAACAAAAAGCACUUUGUUCUCAAAUCACCCUUGCUGCAUUGACAGGAGGAUCUUUAUCUACACCUUUUGACAAGAGAUUGGUGUAAUCAGGUGUUCACAGAAAGGACAGAGAAAACAAAAUCAGUCAGCAUUUGAGUCUCAGCAAUCCAGCAACAUAACCACCAUUGAUUUGAUGGGCAUGAUAACAAGGGAUCAUUUUCAGUCAAACUUGACAGACAACAAUAAAAAGUCCCUGUGCAUGUUUAAAAGCCAUUAAUGCUUGUAAAUAGCUGAGAAGUAUCCAAAAUAGUGAGCUGUUGCCUAUUAUGAAAUAGUUUUCUCUUUCUUACGAUCAACCAGCUUAUCCAGCAUCUCUAAGCAAUCAUUCAGCAAGAUGUAGAACUGUGGUUUCUCCCACUUCAGCCAGCAGCCCUUUUUACUGCACUGUAAUGGCAGAGAUAGGGAUGGCAGAAUUCAUCAGAUGACAGGAAAGCAAGGUUCAGUUAUGGAAUAGCUGAGCUAAUAAAAUUGUACUUUUCAGCUUCCUAAGUGAUCUCAGAAGAUUCUCUGCCAGUAACAUAUCCUAAAACUAUCCCAAAUAUCAGACAGGCUCUCCAAGUCUCUGUGUUAAAACGGCCCUAAGUCAUUUAGGGGUUUGGCAGACAGGCAGUGGCAUAGAUGACAGAGCUUUGGGUCACUUAGGGUUUUGCAGAUAAGCAGAGGGAAGGGGAACUCUACUCCACUAUGAACUUUAUAAUUAGAGUUAACUGGCAUACUGUGCAGACUGUAAUGGUAGGAUGCUUUUUGUCAGCCUGCUUCAUCUAGUUCAGGUGAUCUUCUAACUAGCUUGCACAUUUGCAAUGCCUUCUGUUCAAUUUCCUGCAUUGUCUUCUUCAAUUUCCUUUGCUUCCAUUCCAGCAUCUUGCUUGCUUGCUGUUAGAGCAUUUAUUUCACACUAAGUGACUGAGAAACAGAUUUCCUCUACCAAGGAACCAAGAACUGAUGGUAGGUGUUUUACAUAUAACGUUAAAAAAAAUAACUCAAGAAGUGUCCUGGUGUUUCCCUCCAAAACCAUAAAUCUGAAAGUGCUGCUCGUGGAAACAGUUCUGAGGGACUGACUGUGCACUGACACGGCAGCUCAGAACAGUCUGCAUUCCUUUCUGACUUGGUACUAUCUUCACCACCAGUCAUUCCAGAAGGAAAGCCACUUGUGGAAAACUAGUGCAUGUAUUUGUACUGACCACAGUUAGACUGUGGAAACUGUCUGAUCUUGUGUCUUUAAAACAAACAAACAAACUACAACAGCAGAUAAAAUGGAAGGACCUUCCUUUGCUUUCAGUGUUAUAAGCUAGAAAGACAGA